UUUUUUUAUUGGGGUUGCUAACUUAACGGUAGAGCUACUGAGUUCCGGGUUCGAGUCCCGGGCAACCCG
rnacentral:tRNA from 1 species